rnacentral:lncRNA from 1 species
UUUGUCGGCUGAAAAAUGAGAAAACCAAGACCGUACCAGUGGAAGGGUCUUUGGGUACGGCUGUUCUGUUAUUCCUCCUCUACAAUCGAGGUGUUUCUUCGACUAACAUGCACUAAAAAAAACAAAGAUCACAAUGGUCAGAGAAUCGAGGGGAACGGGAAACAGGAAAGGGGCCAUCGGGGAGGUUUUUAGGUUGUGGUUGCGGUGGCUUAGCCGAGCUCUGCUCGUAUUUUCUGGCUCACCAACUACUCUUUUAUCUCUGAUAUGGGUAUGGGGACAUUCAGAAUUCAAUUCCGAGUGGAAGGAAAUUUUUUUAACUUUUUCGGCAUCGACGGUGGCUUUGGUGCGGCCACAACAAUGUCUAUUCGGCGACUGAUCUUCCCUCUAGCCGCCAUCUUUCUUCUUCUCUGGUCAAGGUCGUCGACUAGGGUUUUGGGGCCGACUGAAUAGAGGUUUAAAUACCUCUCUUCCCCUAAUUCUGAUCUUCUAUUCGCGUCGACAUGGAGCGAGGAGGACCGUUUGAUUUGAUGUCUGUUUAGGCCGAUACAUGUGCAAAUCUGGACCGUCUAUUGCGAUAUAAAAAAAAAGAUAUGGGUCGUUCGUGCGCCUGAGAUGCGAUUUGGACUGUU